GAUGAAGAACGUAGCGAAACGCGAUAGUUAAUGUGAAUUGCAGAAUUCAGUGAAUCAUCGAGUCUUUGAACGCCCAUUGCGCCCCCUGGUAUUCCGGGGGGCAUGCCUGUCCGAGCGUCAUUGCUGCCCAUCAAGCGCGGCUUGUCUGUUGGGCCGCCGUCCGCCUUCCCCCCCGGGGGGAGGGGGACGGGCCCGAAAGGCAGCGGCGGCACCGCGUCCGGUCCUCGAGCGUAUGGGGCUCUGUCACCCGAUCUGGAGGCCCGGCCGGCGCCCGCCGACCCCCAACCUUCUUCUAACCAGGUUGACCUCGGAUCAGGUAGGGAUACCCGCUGAACUUAAGCAUAUCAAUAAGCGGAGGA
rnacentral:misc_RNA from 1 species